CCGGCUGCAGCCGCACCAGCCCCGCGCGGGCAGGGCGCGGGGGCGGUGCUCAGGAGGCUGGGGCUCAGCCCCCGGCUCGGUGGCUGAUAGCUCCGGAUCGAUUUUCCCUUCCCUUCCCCGCCCCCUGACCGCCUUUCCAUAUGGCGUGCGGUGGCAGCGCGCUUCUUGGGCCACCCUAGUCUUGGUACCUGGAGAGGACAAGCUGCAGGGGUCCUCCCAGCCCCAACCCACAGGCCGAAGGAAAAGCGGAGGCCAGCACGUUUGGCAGCCGCCUCCGGGUCUGCCUGGAGGUGGACUUGCUGGAGUCAGGUUGGGGCCGAGAGAACCUGGGAGCAAACGCUAGCUCCCCAGAGGGCCGUGUGGGGGCGGGGUCAGGACGGCAAACCGUUUAUUGCCUAACUCAGUGGUUGGUAGCUGCGAGCCGUGAUGGGCUAGCGUCUGCGUCCUGCCGCUCCCACCCCAGCUCGUUCCUGAGAGAAGGCGAAUUGGGGCAACUUGAUCUGAGUUGAGCGGCCCCAGGGCAAGGCAUUGUCUCUGGAGAUACUUGGGGUCAGUCAUUGGGGCUCCAUGCUUAGCCACCGAGGCGCGCGUCCCAGGCGCUGUGUGCCGGGUGCACGCUCCGCCACGAGCCCUGGGCUCGGAGCUGGCGACAGGACCCGGGCACAGUGGCCGGUGGCAGGAAGAGCCAAAGGCAUCCUGUAUUAGCUCACUCAGGAAUCCUAAGCCCUGAAACAGCGCCCUUUUACUCACUUCAUCAGACAAGCAGAGGCCAGCCAGGGUGACAGGGGUUGUGAUGGCAGGUCUUGGAACUUGGUGGCAACAUUCGUGAGGCUGUGAGUGCCUCAAAGGCUGUCUGACUCACCAUCAUUUUCCAGCACUGGCAUGGUCCCUGGCAUAGGGUAAGAGCUCAGAAAAUAUUAAAUGAAUGAAUGAGUGGGAAGCUUGGCCUGAGGGUGGAGGUGCUGGUGUUCCAGUUAGAAUCAUCAUGUUUCCCUCCGAGCAUCCGUUCUGAAGCUGCCCUGUUCCAAGGCCAUGUUCUGUCUUCUCCAGCCCUUUCUCAAUUGUGGCACAUCACCCAGCUCUUACAGAAGGAAGCCUAGAAUUUCCAGUUUUUUUUUUCCCCUCCCAU